CAGUCGCCGCGGUAAUGCGUAGGUGGCAAACGUUGUCCGGAAUUAUUGGGCGUAAAGGGCUCGCAGGCGGUUUCUUAAGUCUGAUGUGAAAGCCCCCGGCUCAACCGGGGAGGGUCAUUGGAAACUGGGAAACUUGAGUGCAGAAGAGGAGAGUGGAAUUCCACGUGUAGCGGUGAAAUGCGUAGAGAUGUGGAGGAACACCAGUGGCGAAGGCGACUCUCUGGUCUGUAACUGACGCUGAGGAGCGAAAGCGUGGGGAGCGAACAGGAUUAGAUACCCCCGUAGUCCCUGUCUCUUAUAC
rnacentral:rRNA from 1 species